rnacentral:lncRNA from 1 species
CUUUAUAACAGAUUCCAAAGUGGAGCAACUUGGGAUGAUUGGUGUUUAGUGACCGCCAAGACCAUAACACUGGACAGUGGAGAGGCCUCAGAGAGGAUGAACCCAGUACAUGCCUGAGAACUGAAUUGAAGCCUGAGACCAGCUCUGGGUCUUCCCACCACCACACAGAUCCUCAGCACGGAGCAAAGAUGAAACCCAGGGCUCCCCACCUGUGGGCCAGCUCUCUACACCAUCACACCAGCUGCCCUAGGCCACCGCAUACCUUUAAACACGSCCUUGACCGCACCUCCUGGGCAUGUCCUGGAAGAACCUUGCUGGGGGUCUCACAUCACCCCACAACAUGGCCUUAGGAGACCACAAUAUGCCACCCUAAAAUAUGCUUCUCUAGCAUAUUUUGGGCUCAUUAUUUUACAAAACUGCAUAACAGUAGCUUGGAAAGUCUGUCCUUUUGUAAAAUAUUUCAAGAAAUCUACAAUAAUAAACGACUCCUAUCAGGAUAGCGCUGCCCUGCUCGUGGGCAGCGUUUUGUCUGCAGAAGUCCAGAGCUGA